UUGAUAAUUUUAUAGAAAUGUACUGUAUAAGUGAAAGUCAGCAUUUCCAUUACACAACAGCCUGCUAGAUGAGGGAAGAGUUGCCACCCACACUGGGCACCACAGGUUCCCUGCACAAGUCACUUUCCCGUUGUGGAUCUAGGUUUCCAUCUUGGUUUUUUUUAUAUUUCAUAGCAACUGUUUCUUGUCUUUGCUUUUCUCCUUUUUUGAACUUGACAUAGGCCACCUGAGAGAGCUCCUUAGGCCAGCAUGCUUGGGGGGUCUGUUGUGUACAAAGUGCUUUCUCUGGAGUCUCCCUCUAAGGGUCAGGAGUCAGCAGUGACUACUGGAGGAUGCUAGACACUGGAGGGUAGAUCAUGUGUACUGCAUCUCGCCACUGCAGGCACAACACGGGCUUAACAGAUACAGUUGGUUCAAAUUCUGUGUCUGCUCUUUACAGAAUUUGUGGUUCUAGACAAGUCUCCUACUUUUCUAAAUUCUGUUUCAUAUCUCUACAAUGGAAAAAACACUACUAAUCUCAAAAAUUUUGUUGAGAAGAUUAAACCAGAUAGCAUGGUUUCUGCAAGGCAGAAAUCAAAGAAAGAAACCGUGGUGUCUGCUGC
rnacentral:lncRNA from 1 species